rnacentral:lncRNA from 1 species
UUUUUAUUCCUUUGGAGUGGGUUUUGCAGUGUAACCUAGAAAGUGAAGGGUGCCAGGAAAGCCAGCCUGCCACGUGCGGAGAAGUGCAGGAGGCUUGCGCAGCCUCCCAGCCCAAUGAGCACCCUCCACUCACCCAUGGCCCUGGCUGCUGGCCGGGAAAGGGCCAAAUGGACCUCAAAAUGAGAUCAAAGUGCUCACUCCGUCCAAAGCUCAGGUCCAGGUCCAUCUGUCCUCCUCACGUCCAAGAGUGUGCAAAGAAAAUCUGAAAACAUCUUCACACGGGAUCACAGAAUAGGCCCUGCUUGACGUCUGUUGGCCUGAGAAGCAUUCCGGCCGUGCAGAAAGGGUCGGGCAGGUUGGGUCCUGCCAAACGCCGGGGCAUCACCAGCUGCCUCUGGCCCCACCAGCCCGGCCUUCACCCGGGCGUCUCCUCUGCCACCUCCUUCAGGAGGCCAGCCACCAGUAAGGUGUGCUGGGUGCCCUCGGAGCCACUGCGUUCCUGCUCUUUGAGGGCACUUUCUGGUUGGUCCCUCUCGACUCUGAGCACAGGCGGCAGUGACAGUGGGAGGAGACCAGCGUCCAGAGGUCGCAAAUGCUGAAAAGGACGACGUUGAGGGCGAUGAGCCCCGCGGCCUCAAGCGACUGUGGAGCCAGACGUAGUCGUGGGGCCUUGGCAGGAGUAAACUGAUGGACACUUUCGUUGAUUGAAAGAAAUUAAUUCCAGAAGCAAAGUCCUUGAGAAGUGGAGGAGGAAAGGAUUGUAGGGACCAAGUGCAAGGACCAUGUCUUCGUUAGAGUCUAUCACCUUUAAGAGAUUCUUUGCUGAGAAGAAACUACUGCAGCUAGCCUUGGGUGUGCGGGCUGCUGUCGUUUUUGUUUCUACAAGGAAAAUCCAAAAGCCCUCUGAAAAUUGAUGGGAUUGAAUUUAUGCCCUGUGAAAUUCACCAUAUAAAAUUUUUUCACUGGAAGUAAGUUCAUAAUUCUAUCACCACCUUUUUAUUUUGUAGAUAAGGAAAAAGACAUUCAUA